GCGGUAAGGCCCUUCGGGGUACACGAGCGGCGAACGGGUGAGUAACACGUGGGUAACCUGCCCUGUACUCUGGGAUAAGCCCGGGAAACUGGGUCUAAUACCGGAUACGACCCUUGGAGGCAUCUUCGGGGGUGGAAAGUUCCGGCGGUAUGGGAUGGACCCGCGGCCUAUCAGCUUGUUGGUGGGGUAAUGGCCUACCAAGGCGACGACGGGUAGCCGGCCUGAGAGGGUGACCGGCCACACUGGGACUGAGACACGGCCCAGACUCCUACGGGAGGCAGCAGUGGGGAAUAUUGCACAAUGGGCGGAAGCCUGAUGCAGCGACGCCGCGUGGGGGAUGACGGCCUUCGGGUUGUAAACCUCUUUCAGCAGGGACGAAGCGUGAGUGACGGUACCUGCAGAAGAAGCACCGGCUAACUACGUGCCAGCAGCCGCGGUAAUACGUAGGGUGCGAGCGUUGUCCGGAAUUAUUGGGCGUAAAGAGCUCGUAGGCGGUUUGUUGCGUCGGCCGUGAAAACUUGGGGCUUAACCCCGAGCCUGCGGUCGAUACGGGCAGACUUGAGUUCGGCAGGGGAGACUGGAAUUCCUGGUGUAGCGGUGAAAUGCGCAGAUAUCAGGAGGAACACCGGUGGCGAAGGCGGGUCUCUGGGCCGAUACUGACGCUGAGGAGCGAAAGCGUGGGGAGCGAACAGGAUUAGAUACCCUGGUAGUCCACGCCGUAAACGGUGGGUGCUAGGUGUGGGGGACUUCCACGUUCUCCGUGCCGCAGCUAACGCAUUAAGCACCCCGCCUGGGGAGUAC
rnacentral:rRNA from 1 species